AACGAACGUUAGCGGCGCGCCUAACACAUGCAAGUCGAGCGAGAAAGGGCUUCGGCCCCGGUAAAGCGGCGCACGGGUGAGUAACACGUGGAUAACCUACCCCUUGGUGGUGGAUAACCUUCCGAAAGGAGGGCUAAUACAGCGUAAGACCACGACUUCGAAAGAGGUUGGGGUAAAAGUGGGCCUCUGUACACAAGCUCACGCCAGGGGAUGGGGUCCCGCGGCCCAUCAGCUAGUUGGUAGGGUAACGGCCUACCAAGGCGAAGACGGGUAGCUGGUCUGAGAGGAUGAUCAGCCACACUGGAACUGAGACACGGUCCAGACUCCUACGGGAGGCAGCAGUGGGGGAAUCUUGCGCAAUGGACGAAAGUCUGACGCAGCGACGCCGCGUGAGUGAUGAAGGCCU
rnacentral:rRNA from 1 species